rnacentral:hammerhead_ribozyme from 1 species
AUCCGGUCGACGAGUCCAAAACAGGACAAAACGCGCGUUUUGUAU